AUGAGAUAUAUUGGAAAAGAUGCACCAGUUGCUCUUAAAAGAAAAUUGGAGAUGAAAGCCUUGAGGGAAUUAGGUGGAUUUUCUGCUUUGAAUAGCCAGCACAUGUUCAAGUCACUAUCUGCCAUGAAUCACCGUUCUGUUGUACUGCUGAAUGAAUGCAGCAAGAUGGUCUUAGAUAAUAUCCAUGGGUGUCCUCUUAAAGUAUGCAUGGACAUAUUGGAAUCCUGCAUAGACCUUCGAUACCAUAAUUCAGAUCUCUUCAAGGGAAUAGCAGAUUAUGUGGCUGUGACUUUUGAUAUCUGGAAGUUGCAAAAAGUUUUUUUUCUCCUGCUUAUGUUUGAAAAACUUGGCUUUCGACCUAUUGAAUUGAUGGACUUGUUUAUGAAGAAAAUAGUUGAGGAGCCUAAAUCUCUGACCAAGAAAAACAUUGUCCCUAUUCUUCAUGUAUAUUCUUCUCUUAAUCACAUCAACAAGUGCCAGAACAAAGAGUAUGUAUUUUUUUCUUACUUUUUAUUGCCACAUAGUAUAUAUAGAAAAUAUUACAAAUCAUAAACUUAACGAAUUAUUACCAGUGAACAUUCCAUUAACCAUCACUCAUGUGAAGAAAUAAAGCAGUAUUUCC
rnacentral:lncRNA from 1 species